ACGGAAGGCAGCAGUGGGGAAUAUUGGGCAAUGGGCGAAAGCCUGACCCAGCAACGCCGCGUGAAGGAAGAAGGCCUUCGGGUUGUAAACUUCUUUUGUCAGGGACGAAGGACGUGACGGUACCUGACGAAUAAGCAACGGCUAACUACGUGCCAGCAGCCGCGGUAAUACGUAGGUUGCAAGCGUUGUCCGGAUUUACUGGGUGUAAAGGGCGUGUAGGCGGAUUUGCAAGUCAGAUGUGAAAUCCCGGGGCUCAACCCCGGAACUGCAUUUGAAACUGUAGACCUUGAGUAUCGGAGAGGCAAGCGGAAUUCCGAGUGUAGCGGUGAAAUGCGUAGAUAUUCGGAGGAACACCAGUGGCGAAGGCGGCUUGCUGGGGUCUAACUGACGCUGAGGCUCGAAAGUGUGGGGAGCAAACAGGAUUAGAUACCCUGGUA
rnacentral:rRNA from 1 species